rnacentral:rRNA from 1 species
CCUACGGGUGGCAGCAGUGAGGAAUAUUGGUCAAUGGGCGCGAGCCUGAACCAGCCAAGUAGCGUGAAGGAUGACUGCCCUACGGGUUGUAAACUUCUUUUAUAAAGGAAUAAAGUGAGGCACGUGUGCCUUUUUGUAUGUAUUUUAUGAAUAAGGAUCGGCUAACUCCGUGCCAGCAGCCGCGGUAAUACGGAGGAUCCGAGCGUUAUCCGGAUUUAUUGGGUUUAAAGGGAGCGUAGAUGGGUUGUUAAGUCAGUUGUGAAAGUUUGCGGCUCAACCGUAAAAUUGCAAUUGAUACUGGCGGUCUUGAGUAUAGUUGAGGUAGGCGGAAUUCGUGGUGUAGCGGUGAAAUGCUUAGAGAUCACGAAGAACUCCGAUUGCGAAGGCAGCUUACUAAACUGCCACUGACAUUGAUGCUCGAAAGUGUGGGUAUCAAACAGGAUUAGAUACCCUUGUAGUC